AGUGAACGCUGGCGGCGUGCCUAAUACAUGCAAGUCGAACGGAGUGGCGCACGGGUGAGUAAUGUAUAGCUAAUCUUCCCUACACUAGAGGACAACAGUUGGAAACGACUGCUAAUACUCUAUAGUGUAGGAUGAGGCUAUAUUGUAUCAGCUAGUUGGUGAGGUAAUGGCUCACCAAGGCUAUGACGCAUAACUGGUCUGAGAGGAUUAUCAGUCACUCUGGAACGGAGACACAGUAGGGACUCCUACGGAAGGGGGCGGUAGGGGAUAUUGCUAAGUGGGGGAAAUCCAGAAGCUGCUACGCCGCGUGGAGGAUGACACUUUGCGGAGCGUAAACUCCUUUUGUUAGGGAAACGGUACCUAACGAAUAAGCACCGGCUAACUCCGUGCCAGCCGCCGCGGUAAUAC
rnacentral:rRNA from 1 species